GACACGUAUCCAACCUGCCGAUGACUCGGGGAUAGCCUUUCGAAAGAAAGAUUAAUACCCGAUGGCAUAGUUCUUCCGCAUGGUAGAACUAUUAAAGAAUUUCGGUCAUCGAUGGGGAUGCGUUCCAUUAGGUUGUUGGCGGGGUAACGGCCCACCAAGCCUUCGAUGGAUAGGGGUUCUGAGAGGAAGGUCCCCCACAUUGGAACUGAGACACGGUCCAAACUCCUACGGGAGGCAGCAUG
rnacentral:rRNA from 1 species